GACCCACCAUUGCGGCGAGGUUG
rnacentral:siRNA from 1 species